GAUGAAGAACGUAGCGAAAUGCGAUAAGUAAUGUGAAUUGCAGAAUUCAGUGAAUCAUCGAAUCUUUGAACGCACAUUGCGCCCCUUGGUAUUCCGAGGGGCAUGCCUGUUCGAGCGUCAUUAUAACCCCUCAAGCUCAGCUUGGUGUUGGGGCCUGCUGCACUGGCAGCCCUUAAAAUCAGUGGCGGCGCCAUCUGGCUCUAAGCGUAGUAAUUCUUCUCGCUAUGGAGUCCUGGUGGAUGCUUGCCAUCAACCCCCAAUUUUUCUAUGGUUGACCUCGGAUCAGGUAGGGAUACCCGCUGAACUUAAGCAUAUCAUAGCGGAGGA
rnacentral:misc_RNA from 1 species